AAAUCUGACAUUUAUUGGUGGUCUGCUUUCUUUUCUAUUGUUUUUAUUGUUCAUUCUAUAGCAUUUUUUACACCCAAAUGGAUAUCGACCGACACGUGUGAUUCAUGUGGACUGUUUUAUCACUGUUGUCACUGCGGUGGCCGGUGCGGACUGUAUAACACAAAUGAAACUGGAACAGAGAUAGUCCACCCUCCUGUAUUUAACUACCUACUACCUAUGGAAGCAUUCGCCUUCGGUGUAUAUGUUCUCAAUCUAUGUUUUAUGAUCAUUGCUUGGAAAAAGGAAAGUGUUCGAACACAUGUAUCCGUCGGAAUUCUUGUGUACAUCAUUGUAGCUGUUCUCGCCUUGCUCGGCUUAUUUUUAUUGAUUGGCGUCACUGACCCUUCUCAUUUCGGAUACUCUUAUUGGAUGGCGCUCGUUUCCAGAUUUCCGGUGCUGUUACUACUGAAAGAAAUUUGUCGUCAAAGAACGGCAGGUGAAAGAGCUGUCAGUGCGGAAAACGUUCUACUCGUCAAUCAACCCUAGAUGACAUUGUUAGAAACUUAAAUGUAAUGCAUCAUGAGAAAACCAACAUAGUGCGUUUUCUACCAGCAUGGAUCCAGACCAGCCGCAAAGCCACUAUGUUGAUUUUCUCAUGGCGUGGCUCAAAUGUAAUGCUUCACAUUCGAAUGCGAACAUUUUAGUUACGUUGUUUAUACAAUGUAACUGAUUAUAGUGUUGCUUUUUUAAUUCCAAUGAAUGAUAUGUAAUGAAAAAAAAAAAAACAGACUGAAAAUGGACUGGAUGCUAAUUAACAAACAUAAGGAGAGAUCGUGUUUGUAUACAAAUCUGGUGUUUUUCUAUUUUUAUAACUGAUAUGACAGUGAUCGGAUGGGCAAUCGUCGAACAUUCAUGUUUUUUUUUUGUUUUUUGUUUUGUUUUUGUAAACAGUGAUGUUUUCUAACGGCCUAAACUUUCUUAAAAUACAAAUUUUAUCAAUAAUUUUUGGAUCAAUGGAAAGGUUAUAAAACAAGUAAUUUAAUGAUUUUAAUAAUUAUUUCGAAUUCUAACACGACCAGCGAAUAACCUUCAGACAUGUAGAGCAAAGUCUAUCUCUGAAUAUUCUGCAAUAAACCACAGGCAAUCGGCGUGUGACUUGGACCCAUUAUACAUGAUAGACCCCCCACCCCGUUCUCUACAACCCAGAUCCCCAACAUAAUAACAUAAAAACACAUUUCCAAAAAAAAAAAGAAAAAUGCUAUAUAUAAAAAAAAUAAAGGUAUGGUACUUUACAGCCAAACAUUAAGGAUAAAAUGGAAUGGCCUCAGUAACGAUCUCACUGCGUACACAAUUUUCGGACGAUUUUUGAAAAUCUGGUCUUAACCAACGCAUAAAGCAUAAAUCUUAACGGUAAACAUGCACUUUGGUCUCAAGGCUGCAUCAUUUUGAUGCAGCGAGACGCUAUUCUUUGACAAAAUCAUCUCGUAGACGAUGUGACCUAACCCGUAUAUUUCUCGGGCCAAUAGACAAGUCAAUGGCAGCCACCUAUUCCCUUCGUUAUUUCCAAGCACAAUCGUGGCCAUCCUUUAGAAACAUAAAUAAUUAGUCGCUUACCUAUAAUACUUCGUCCAGUUUCCGUCAAUAACGAUGCAUCCACCGUUGGGAAAUUUCUCUCAAAACAUCAGCUGCCAUGUUUAUACGGCGACCCGGAACUGGUUUUUACUACGUAGCCUUUUUGCGAUUGGUCGAUUCUGGAGGUGUGUUCUCCACGUGAGCUGGUAUUAACAUGGCAGCUGAUGUUUUGAGAGAAAUACAGCGUUGGGAAAUUGACUGGAUGCAUCGUUAUUGAUAAAUAGUUAUUUACGAUUCCUUAAUGUAAACUCCGUCUUGGUUUAUAAUCUUGGUUAUUUUAAAAGAAGAAACUUUCGAGCAUAAACUUUAACUUAAUGAUAAACUUGUCUUCUAUAUGCAAUGAAAGAAAACGCUUCCAUCUCGACCAAGGUCAGCUUGCAAAUUUGGCGCCCGUACACAACAUACGUAGUAAACAUAAAGCCUGGUUCAAUUUGACUGACCAGAGCGCCGCUUAACUUCGGAAAUGAAUAUCCUUUUCUAAAUCCGGGGAUAACAGAUGCUUUUCGUGUUAUAACAUCUGCAGAAUCCCGAGGGAUUGGUUGAUGCCCGAGCCCGGUAGGGCCGGGGUACCAACGUUUCCCGAGGGAUUCUGAAGAUGUAACAACACAAAAUGAACAAGCGUUAAUGCUGUUCUAGCAGAAAACGCGUAAAAAUAUUAAACGAAUAAAUAAUCCAUCAACGUCAUUAAAUUUUCAUGAAACGCGCGGUGACGUCUGCGUUUUUUUUCACGUUGACGUCAUUUUGUUUUAAUUAUCCUUUUUGGGACCGUAAUGCGUUUAUGCUUUUGCCACAGAACGCGCAUAUAAAAAGUGUUUUAACAGCACGUGAGCACGAGAACCAUAUUUCUCCCCCGAAAAGUGAGAAGAUCAGUUUUAUGCUAAAAUGUGAAUUUAUAGACAGUUCUCCUAAAAUCAAGUUAUUUCAAGCUAGAUUUUCGAUCAACGGAAAAUUGUACACUUUCAGUCUUCCGUUAAUUUGAUCACAAAUUUAAUGUAGGUUAUAGUGCACUAAAUGAUUUUGAAUCACAAAGUUAAUGUAGGGUAUAGUGCACUGAAUAAUUUUGAUCACAAAGGGAAUGUAGGGUAUAGUGCACUAAAUGAUUUAUUAUCAUAAAGUUAAUGUAGGGUAUUGUGCACAAAAUAAUUUUGAUCACAAAGUUAAUGUAUGGCAUAGUGCACUAAAAUGAUUCUGAUUAGAAAGGUAUUGCAGGGUAAUGUGCACUAAAUGAUCUUUCAUCACAAAAUUACUGUAGGGUAUAGUGCACUAAAUAAUUUUGAUCACAAAGUUUAUGUAGGUUUUAAUGCACUAAAUGAUUCUGAUUGGAAAGUUAUUGCAGGGUAAUGUACACUAAAUGAUCUAUCAUCACAAAAUUACUGUAGGGUAUAAUGCACCAAAUAAUUUUGAUCACAAAGUAAAUAUAGGGUAUAGUGCACUAAAUGAUUCUUCGUCUGUAUUCAAAUAAUAUAAUAUCAGUGAAUUUACUCAAAUGAAGACGAAAGUCAAGACUGCGUCAGUCUUUCUGGCAAGAACGGAUUCUGAUAUUGGUCGAGCUGGCUGAGCCAAUCAGAAGACGUAUAGUUUCGGAACGAUGUGAUUAACCAAUGAAAUUAAAGAAAUCUUAAAGCGACUGGCCUCCAGAUCGUUCGACAACAAACAAUUUUUUAGAUAUCUUGAAAUAAAUACUGUAUUUCUUAUAAGGCUUUAAAAAUGAAACUAUAUGUUACGGAAACACGAGAAUUUGCUGUUUUACUCCUUUUUACGAUGAAAAUCGUAAAGCGUUUAUCACGCUUUUACUCAAAGUAAACUGUCUCAAUUAUAAAUAUCUAUAUUUUGAAGUCAUAAUUCACUACUUCAGCUAUUGCACUAUUGGUUACGACGACGGAAAAAUGUCUUUAUUCGCUGCCGCGGCGUUCCAGGAUUCGAUUCCCGACGCGGCCACCUUUUUUCUUGAUUUGGAAUUUUUAGAAUAUUUUAGAAACAAAAAUUCCUAUACUUAUGUUCAUAAUAAGACCAAAUUCAAUUUGAAAGAAAGAUUUUAUUAGCCAAAUAUGGAGUUCAGUGCCAUUAAACUUGCACUGAAAGUCCAAUAUUGGCUGAAAUGAAGUAAAAUAAUAUUACCGACUUUAUCUUUGUUUACUAGAAUAGUAGUCUAAUAUUAACACAAAUAUUAGCGUUGUUUCGUAAUUUUGCAUACUAACUUGUUUAUUGUAUAGUCAUCCAUUCAGUGCCAGGAUAAACACCAUCAUGUCACUCAAUGGAGCAAUAAUAGUAUGAAUUAGAUCAUAUAUAUAUAUAUAUCUAUCAUUGGUUAUAUACCACUUUUGUCAUAAAGAACGUGAGGGUAAUUUGAGCAAUUCUUUCUCUUUACUGUAUCCAUAAUUGAUUUUUGAGCUAUUAUUACUUUUCAAUUAAUCAUCUUGAUAUUAUUUGUUAAACUGAUAUAUCGAGCAUAAAUAUGUUUUAAGCAAAGUUAUUAACUCCCUUUUAAAUGGUAUAAUAUAUCUGUUUCAAGUUUUGUGUGCAUACAUACACAGGGUAUUCUUGAGUGUAUAAUAUAUUUUUCUUGAAGUUUGCCGCAACGUCUGUUUACGACGUUUCCCGUAAUUUUUGUUAUGACGUGACGUCAUUGUACAUUAUUUCAAAAUGUAAACUGCCUGAAGAUAUAUGUAUUGAAAGCGCUUGCAGUGAAGAAUUAAAAUAAUUGUAAAACACAGAA